UGGGGAAUCUUGCGCAAUGGGCGAAAGCCUGACGCAGCAACGCCGCGUGAGCGAAGACGGCCUUCGGGUUGUAAAGCUCUGUCAGGAGGGACGAAGCCACUCAGGUGAAUAGCCGAGAGGGUGACGGUACCUCCAGAGGAAGCCCCGGCUAACUACGUGCCAGCAGCCGCGGUAAUACGUAGGGGGCAAGCGUUGUCCGGAAGCAUUGGGCGUAAAGCGCGUGUAGGCGGCCAUCCAAGUCUGAUGUGAAAGCUCGGGGCUCAACCCCGAGUCUGCAUGGGAAACUGGCUGGCUUGAGUCCGGAAGAGGAGACUGGAAUUCCUGGUGUAGCGGUGAAAUGCGCAGAUAUCAGGAAGAACACCGGUGGCGAAGGCGGGUCUCUGGGACGGUACUGACGCUGAGACGCGAAAGCGUGGGGAGCAAACA
rnacentral:rRNA from 1 species